GCAGGUCCUCAGCCUCAGCCAUUGGCUGCGGCACGAGAACUCAGAACAAAUGCGGUCUGACCUUCCCAGAAACGCUGGGAAUCCUAGUUUAUGACUUUGGUGUUCAAUUCAAAUAAAAAAAACUCACAAGCAAUAACCACCAACAUAGCUAACAACAUUAUGGGACGCACAGAACAGGUCCUGGAGCAGUGCUGGACUGCAGGAAGUUAAAACAAAGUUCGAGAAAGGCCAGCGGUCCUCAGGAGUCCGACUUGCCCCACAGAGAAGACUCAAAAAGCACCUGAAGGGCCACGAAGGCAGCCCGAAGUCACUGCUCCUCACCCGUUAGGGGACACGGCAGCAUCGUUAAACAUGCGUGCACCAGCCUCCCUCGGGGAGGAUUUUGAGGAGGACAGCUCUCAUUGACCUGCACGUACUGGGGCAGUUGCUCAAUGACGGUCCCAGCGGUUUACACUCCCAGCCCAAGAAGCGAGCUCCUGGGGAACCGGAGGGUGUUUCUGGAGUUGCUCUAGGAGGCUGCAAUACCGCCGAUGUCCACUGGGGGUCUCUCUCGCACCACUGAUGGCAUCACCACCCCCAGGUCUAGCUGGGGCGGGGUUACUGCUGGGGAAGCAAGGUCAGGCCCAGCGCCUGUGGAAGGAUUGCCGUGCCCUUCAAGGUGAUGUGACUGCCUGAAGUUGGAUGCAUCCUGCUCUCGAACAUCUCGGGCACGGCUUAGCCCAGGAGACAGCAGCUCGUCCCUGAGUGUGGGGUGGCCUGGCUGGUGCCUAUUUUGGAUGGCCCAUUUGAAAGAGGAUCAGAAAGGAUUUCAUCUGAAAAGGAAUCAAGUGCAAAUCAAGUGCUUUCACUUCCUGAAUUGUUUCCAGCGCACAAGGUUGUUCUGAACGUGGGCCCUGAGUCAUGCGGGAGCCCAGGAUGUCUGCCCACCUGGGGAGCCAGGGGAUCUGACACAGAGGCCAGAGAAGGGGUGCUGUCAGGCCAGAGACUGGCUUAGAACCAACAUGCUUCUUCCUUGUUCUGGGUUCAGUCACACAAAUGAGCAGAGGCAGCAGCUUCCGGGCCCAGAGAAACAGUCCACAAAGACAAGAGAGAAAGAGAACGCUGGGCUGGGGGAUGCGUGUUGUGCCCAUGAAAGCGAUGCCUUCUACGGAGAAGGCCGGGAAGCCUGAACCCUUGGGAGCAGCCGUGUUGGGGCAUUGGGCGGGGGAAAGCGGGGGAUGUGUCACAGUGCUUAUUGGUCUGUUUCUGCUCCUCUCCCCUGCCCCCCAUUCCUCCCACUGCCCCCGAGACAAGAUGCUGUUAGGAAAAUAGGGGCUGCUUGGCCCCACCGAACCCUCUCGUCUACCAUCAGGAAAAUGGUGGCUCUCCCAGUAUCGUUACGGUCCCGCUCAGCCCCCGGGGCUCGGGACAGGGUCUCCCUUCAUCUUCUCGGGUCCUUUUAUGGCAGCUCUGGGUCUCCCAAGGAAUGGUGCUGGAAAGAAGACUUUUGUCUUUUUUGUACUGCUUUUCCUGACUAAAUAUCAUAUUCAUUGCAGAAAAUUUGGCAAACAGAGACAUGAGUAAAAAGGAAAUGUACAAGGGGCGCCUGGGUGGUUCAGUCGGUUGAGCAUCCGACUUCAGCUCAGGUCACGAUCUCACAGAUCGUUAGUUUGAGCCCCG